rnacentral:lncRNA from 1 species
GGUUGAGGAGAAGGUGAUGUGCUCCGCAGGCUGGAGGCGCGUGGAUGGAGUAGACCGAGGAGCGUGGGUUGGAAUCAAGGAGAGAGGUGUGUUGGUCCGAAUGGCACACACUUGGCAGCUGGGAGAGCAAAAGAGGGACUGAGAAUGUGCCACUGGAUCCUGCAGCUGCUACAGAGAUACCAACUGCAGAGAUUCAAUAUCACCCCUCCUAACACACGGGGACCAUCUUCCCUGCUGGUUGUAUCAAAAAGAGUCUGUGAAGAUGAAGAUGUUUAUAAGUGUAAACCUCUACACAAAAUUGGACUGCAGCUGAUGGCACGCAGCACCAGUCCUUUGGAAGAUGCCUCACUGAAGGGUAUCAGUUAGCUCUUGCUAACUUAGUUUAAAAUAAUAAAUAAUAAAUAUUCAUUCUUUUCA